rnacentral:rRNA from 1 species
UACGGUGACGAUGGCAAGAAGGACCCACCUGUAUCCAUACCGAACACAGCAGUUAAGCUUCUUAGCGCCGAAUGUAGUUGGGGGUUGCCCCC